CAGAGUUUUAGAGACCUGGGAAGAAUGAUCUUAUCUUAUUUUAAUCAUUACCCCCAUAGGUAUUUUUUCAUCCAACUUGAUCAGGGUAUAAAAGUGUCACAACUGGUGAAAGUCCACAAGUAGGAGACAAAGCUGUUCAGACGUUCUGCACUGCACAGAAUUUACAUCAACGCUGAAUCUGAACUUAGAACAUCCUUGCCUGCAAAAGAUAAGAUGGAGGAAAGCAAAGAUCUCGUGCUCUCCCAGGCGUUGGUGAAACCAGACUUCAUUGAGGAGCUUCUCCCAUCAUCUCAGCGAGUCUCUCUGCUCUACCACCUCUCCUAUUUGUGUUCUGCUAAAUUCCCAAAAUGCGAGAAGCUGAUCAGAGCUCAGGCUCUUGAAACCAGGCUACUCUAUUCAUCUUCCGAGGCUACCCUGCUGAAGUGCAUGGGCACCAGUCAGAACCUCGUUUCCACACUGUUUCCCAGACUGAUAUUUGCUGUGGAAAAAGAAAAGCCAACAAUGGCGAUUCAGUACCUGGAAAAAGCAAGAAAAUGGAUCACUGACAUUAUUCAGGAGGUGGAGAAGAUCGUUGAUAGAUAUGAUCUACACAACAAGGAUGUGAAUUCAACUACUAGUGACAUCAUCACCGAGAAGCGAGACACUGAACAAAAGGCUAAAGAACUAAACACAGAAAUUAAAGCGAUGGAGGAAGCUUUGGAGCAGCUUAAAAUGAACCAGAAAACAAUCGCUGACAGCAUUGAAACACUUGAGAAACAAAUUCAGAGCAAAUCCUCUGAACUGGAGAAACAUGUGAGGGAGGUGACUAGUAAAGACAAAGGUCUGGGUAUCUUUGCUGCUGUGGUCCCCUUCAUUGGAGCCAUUGUUAAGUCUAUUUAUGAUUCAGCAACUGGUCCAGGUGUUGCUGCAAAAACCAAGGCUCUUGAAAACGAACUGAAUCGGCUUAACUCAGAAAAGGCGGCUCUGAAACAGCAGGAGUGGACUCUGCAGCUCAAGAUAAUUGAUGAGGGGAUGGUGUUGGCCAAGAAAAAAAUUGAACUGGGUGUUGUGCCUGAUCCUGUCCACCUUGGAGAGGUUCAGCAGUGUCUCUCCAAAAUCCAGAAUAUUCUGAUUCAGCUGAAGUCUUUUUGGCAAACAGUGAAUUCUAUGUUGGGUGUUCUCAAGGAUAAAACCUUUGUUGAUGAAGAUCUCAUUGACGACCCGGAAGUGAAAGAACUGUUUGUGUCUUCCAUCCAAGAAGCUACAAAGGUCUGGAGGAGCUUUGGUUGCUUCUGUGGUGAAGCAACUAACAUCUUCAAGCAGCAGAUUGAAGGAGCUUACAAGUUCCUGGAGUCGGAUCCCACCAGCCUUUCAAAGGAAGCCUGGGAGCUAGAGUAUAAUUCUGUGAAAAAACAGCUGGAAAAUGUUAAUAUAGUUAAGAGCGUUUGUCCGCCAUCAGUGAGCGCUGUACCCCCCAGUCUCGAGAAUAAGACAAACCCUGCCCCCGCCUUAAAACACAAGAGAGGUUCUAGGGUUGCUUCCUCUAAAAGUAAAAAAAGCAAAUAAUGCCAGUAAAUAAAGCUGCAUUAAUAAAGCUCA
ensembl:lncRNA